rnacentral:misc_RNA from 1 species
GAUGAAGAACGUAGCGAAAUGCGAUAAGUAAUGUGAAUUGCAGAAUUCAGUGAAUCAUCGAGUCUUUGAACGCACAUUGCGCCCCCUGGUAUUCCGGGGGGCAUGCCUGUCCGAGCGUCAUUGCUGCCCUCAAGCACGGCUUGUGUGUUGGGCCGUCGUCCCCCUCCUAGGGGACGGGCCCGAAAGGCAGCGGCGGCACCGCGUCCGGUCCUCGAGCGUAUGGGGCUUCGUCACCCGCUCCGUAGGCCCGGCCGGCGCUUGCCGACGACCAUCAAUCUCUUUCUCCAGGUUGACCUCGGAUCAGGUAGGGAUACCCGCUGAACUUAAGCAUAUCAAUAAGCGGAGGG